ensembl:lncRNA
GCUGGGUGGGUUGGUUUAGUGCGCUGGGCUGGGUGGCUUGGUUUGUAGGGUCUGGGCUUAGUGGCUGGGUGUCUUGGUUGGUGUUUGGGGGGUCUCGGCCCUCAGUCUUUCCAGGGUUCCGAGUGGUGGUGGGUCAGAUGAGGUCAGAGGGUCCUGAAGAACACAGGCCAUGAAGAUAAACAGAGAGGGGAGAGAGAAACAGAGAGGAGAGAGACAGAGAUAAACAGAGAGGAGAGAGAAACAGAGUGGGGAGAGAGAAACAAAGAGGAGAGACAGAGAUAAACAGAGAGGAGAGAGAAACAGAGAGGAGAGAGACAGAGAGAAACAGAGAGGAGAGAGAAACAGAGAGGAGAGAGACAGAGAGAAACAGAGAGGAGAGAGACAGAGAUAAACAGAGAGGGGAGAGAGAAACAGAGAGGAGAGAGACAGAGAUAAACAGAGAGGAGAGAGACAGAGAUAAACAGAGUGGGGAGAGAGAAACAGAGAGGAGAGAGACAGAGAUAAACAGAGAGGAGAGAGACAGAGAUAAACAGAGAGGAGAGAGAAACAGAGAGGAGAGAGACAGAGAUAAACAGAGGGGAGAGACAGAGAUAAACAGAGAGGAGAGAGAGAGAAACAGAGAGGAGAGA